CUAGCGCAACAGUGUGUGUAGACCACAGUUUACUUACUUACUGGUCUCGCGGCAACAUUGUCCGAAUCGGUUGCUUAUGCCACACCACUCUCUCUCUUUCGUUUUAGCAAGCAAAAUUUCCUCUGAACUCUAAUAACUUGCGCGUGCGUGCUCUCUUCAAGCGAAGAUACUCACUCACUCGCGUGUGUGAAAGAUGGAGCGCAAGCAAGGCUUCUUUUCCGCGCUGAAGGACGAGGUGGUCCGCGGCCUCUCGCCGGCGCGGUCACGCGCCAAGAGCCCGGCGAGGAGCGCGUCGCCGAUGUCCUCGCUGCUCCGCCGCCGGCGCAAGCAGCACGCGCCGCCGCCGGAGCUCUUGAUGGCGAGAUCGGGAAGCCUGCGGCCCGCGGAGGCCCUCUCGCCGCUGAAGGAAGGGCCCGACGGCACCGACGGGCAGGACUCCAGGCGCGGCGAGGGAAGGUGGGGCCACUGGAUGAAAGGACCACUGGCGAGAACACCCUCCGUUUCCUCGUCCUCUUCCUCGUCCUCCUCUUGCAAGAAGUCCGAUCUGAGGUUGCUCCUCGGCGUGUUGGGCGCUCCACUCGCCCCUGUCCACGUGUGCACCACCGACCCCUUCCCUCACCUCAGCAUCAAAGACAUCCCCAUUGAGACUUCUUCUGCGCAGUACAUUCUGCAGCAGUACAUUGCGGCUUCUGGAGGGCAGAAGCUUCAGAAUUCGAUUAACAAUGCCUAUGCCAUGGGGAAGGUGAGGAUGAUAGCGUCCGAGUUCGAGACGGCGAACAAGGUCACGCGCAGCCGGAACUCCUCCAAGGCUGCUGAGUCUGGUGGGUUUGUCUUGUGGCAGAUGAACCCCGACAUGUGGUAUGUGGAGCUUGCUCUUGGUGGCAGCAAGGUUCACGCCGGUUGCAAUGGGAGACUCGUCUGGCGCCACACGCCCUGGCUCGGCGCCCACGCCGCCAAAGGGCCUGUUCGGCCGCUGCGUCGCGCCCUUCAGGGUCUUGACCCAAGAACAACUGCUAGCAUGUUUAUCAAUGCAAGAUGCAUUGGGGAGAAGAAGAUAAAUGAAGAGGACUGUUUCAUCCUCAAGCUUUGUGCAGACCCCUCAACGUUGAAAGCCAGGAGUGAAGGUCCAGCAGAGAUCAUAAGGCAUGUUCUGUUUGGGUACUUUAGCCAGAAAACGGGGCUUCUUGUUCACUUGGAGGACUCCCAUUUGACCCGCAUUCAGAACAACGGUGGUGAUGCAGUAUAUUGGGAGACCACAAUAAAUUCGUUUCUCGAUGAUUACAGACCUGUUGAGGGGAUAAUGAUUGCUCACUCAGGUCGUUCUGUAGUGACGCUUUUCAGGUUUGGGGAAACGGCAAUGAGCCACACUAAAACAAGGAUGGAAGAGGCUUGGACGAUUGAGGAGGUUGCAUUCAAUGUUCCUGGCCUUUCUUUGGACUGUUUCAUUCCUCCAUCUGAGUUAAGGUUUGCUUCUAUGAGUGAAGCCUGUGAGCUUCCUCAAGGUCAGAGGGUGAAGACUGCUGUGGCAGCAGCUGCAUACCAAGCCAAAGUUGCUCAACUACAAAAAUCCCAUGAAAGCAGCACGAAUAACAUUAACUGGACAGUGGAUGUUUAGCUAAGAGGAAGUUUCUGGAUUAGGCCUAGGCGUCUAGUUUUUAUACCUUUUGUGGACUAUCUGACAAAUUACUGCAGGUAAAUGGUAAGAUUGCAGCAGGGUUGUCAAGAGUUUUCUGCUGUGGGUCAUUGCCUCGUCAAAUCUGUAAAUAGAAAUGAUCAGUCAUGGAUCCUGAAAAGUGAAUUUCUAUACUCUGGGUUUUUGGUGGAUGAUUAUAUGCAUCAAGAGUUUUUUUUUUCCUGUGAAAGCAUCAACACUAUGCUUGGAGAUCACAGUUAUAACCUCGAUUUCGCUUCGUAACUGAAAAGUUUUGGCUUUGAGUUUCAAUGGCCAGCACUUUGUCAGAUAUAAAUAUUGAUAUUGCUGGUGGUAUCCGUAUUCCGUAAGGAAAUUUCUUCCAUCUUUGAAGGAAAUUAGGAUUCAAGAACUUGUGUUUAUUGCUGGUUUUUAUUAUGAAUUGUAAACCAACUAGCCAGAGUAAGUAGUAGCUAAAUUAUUCCUA